CUCCUCUUCUUUAUUCUCCCUGCCUGGAAUGCAGAUGAUAGAGUUGGAGCUCCAGUAGCCAUCUUGAGACCAUGAGGCAAUCCUGAGAAGGAAAGCUACACAUUAAGGAUGAGGGAGCAGAAAAAUUAAAGAAUACCAGGUCCUGGGAGACAUUGUGGAGCCAACAUGCCUACCCUGCCUUUUGAAUGUCAAGUUAUAAGACAGUAAAAUACAUGUCUAUUAUAUUUGGUGGUGUCUGUCACCAAAAUCAAUCCCUAACUGACACAAGCGAUCAGAAAGAGUUAGAUCAGAAAGGAGGAAAUGUAAUUUUUUUUGGUAAAGUAAUAAUUGCACAAGCAUUUGCUAAAAUGAGAAGGAGGUUGCCAGAUAAAGUAAGGAAAGACCUUUCAUGCAGAGGGAACAGUAUGGUUAAAAUAUCAAGGAAACCACUUGAUCACUUUCUCCUGAAAAAAUAACAUAUAUUAGAGUGGCUUGGUGAGGUUACUUCAAAUUAUAUUUGAUGAUUCCAGAGGAAGAAAUAGUAGAACUUCAGGUAUGCUGAGAAAGGGAAAUGGAUGUAUCAGCUAUUUGUGUGACCUCGGAGAGGAAACAUUUGCAAGCUGGGAAGUGUCCACAGAAGCCGUUCUUCUUGGUGGCUGUGGAGGAGUGAAGUCGACACUUUGUUGCUGGAAUCGGAUCCUUUUUGAAAAUAGAUGUAUUGCUGCGGUGAGCACUCCCAAUGCACCUGCUGCAU
rnacentral:lncRNA from 10 species